rnacentral:rRNA from 1 species
UACGUAGGGUGCAGGCGUUAAUCGGAAUUACUGGGCGUAAAGCGUGCGCAGGCGGUUUGCUAAGACAGGUGUGAAAUCCCCGGGCUUAACCUGGGAACUGCGUUUGAAACUGAAAGGCUAGAGUGUGGCAGAGGGGGGUGGAAUUCCACGUGUAGCAGUGAAAUGCGUAGAGAUGUGGAAGAACACCGAUGGCGAAGGCAGCCCCCUGGGCUAACACUGACGCUCAUGCACGAAAGCGUGGGGAGCAAACAGG